GUGUUCGCUUCAGCAGCACAUAUAUUAAAAGUUCAACAAUACAAAGAUUUGCAUGGCCCAUACAAGAAUGAUCUGCAAAUUCAUGAAGCAUUCCAUAUUUUG
ensembl:snRNA U6 U6 spliceosomal RNA